rnacentral:rRNA from 1 species
GACAGAGGGUGCAAACGUUGCUCGGAAUUACUGGGCGUAAAGCGCGUGUAGGCGGGCCCCCAAGUCGGACGUGAAAGCCCCGAGCUCAACUCGGGAACUGCAUCCGAAACUGAGGGCCUUGAGUGAUGGAGAGGGAAGCAGAAUUCCUGGUGUAGAGGUGAAAUUCGUAGAUAUCAGGAGGAACACCGGUGGCGAAGGCGGCUUCCUGGACAUUGACCUGACGCUGAGACGCGAAAGCGUGGGGAGCGAACAGG